GCAGCAUGUCGGUUGCUUGCAACCGAUGAUGGCGACCGGCGCACGGGUGAGUAACGCGUAUCCAACCUACCCUUGUCCAUCGGAUAACCCGUCGAAAGGCGGCCUAACACGAUAUGCGGUUCUCAGCAGGCAUCUAACGAGAACGAAAUGUGAAGGAGAAGGAUGGGGAUGCGUCUGAUUAGCUUGUUGGCGGGGUAACGGCCCACCAAGGCAACGAUCAGUAGGGGUUCUGAGAGGAAGGUCCCCCACAUUGGAACUGAGACACGGUCCAAACUCCUACGGGAGGCAGCAGUGAGGAAUAUUGGUCAAUGGACGAGAGUCUGAACCAGCCAAGUAGCGUGCAGGAUGACGGCCCUAUGGGUUGUAAACUGCUUUUAUAGGGGGAUAAAGUGUGCCACGUGUGGCAUAUUGCAGGUACCCUAUGAAUAAGGACCGGCUAAUUCCGUGCCAGCAGCCGCGGUAAUACGGAAGGUCCAGGCGUUAUCCGGAUUUAUUGGGUUUAAAGGGAGCGUAGGCCGUUUGGUAAGCGUGUUGUGAAAUGUCGGGGCUCAACCUGGGCAUUGCAGCGCGAACUGCCAGACUUGAGUGCGCAGGAAGUAGGCGGAAUUCGUCGUGUAGCGGUGAAAUGCUUAGAUAUGACGAAGAACUCCGAUUGCGAAGGCAGCCUGCUGUAGCGCAACUGACGCUGAAGCUCGAAAGCGUGGGUAUCGAACAGGAUUAGAUACCCUGGUAGUCCACGCGGUAAACGAUGGAUGCUCGCUGUUUGCGUCUGACGUAAGCGGCCAAGCGAAAGCGUUAAGCAUCCCACCU
rnacentral:rRNA from 1 species